CUAGUCGGGGCUGUGGGACGUUUUCUAAAGGAGGUAUUCAGUGUGUUCUCUUGUGGAUUAUAGGAUUAGGGUUGUUAUGGUCCAUGUAGUGUCCAGCGGUGCAGGAGGAGGUUCCUACAGUAUAGAAUCCACUAAGUGGAUAUCUUCUAUGUAAGAUCCUUCUCCUAAUUGACCCAUCAACGAUGGAUAAGGACAGGGACAAGAUGGCGGAGAGUAUAAUAAAUCUCACCCUAGAGAUCCUCUUCCGGCUUACUGGAGAGGACUACACAGUAGUGAAGAAGGCCUCUAGUGAGAGCUGUCAGGACCCCCUAAUACAUGAGGAAUUUAAUAGAGAGAAGAUCCUAGAACUCACCAACAAGAUGAUUGAGCUGCUGACUGGAGAGGUUCCUAUAAGGUGUCAGGAUGUCACAGUCUAUUUCUC